CGCGUAGGCGGUUCGUUAAGUCCUGUGUGAAAUCCCCCGGCUCAACUGGGGAACUGCACAGGAAACUAGCGGGCUUGAGUUCGGGAGAGGGAAGCGGAAUUCCGGGUGUAGCGGUGAAAUGCGUAGAUAUCCGGAGGAACACCGGUGGCGAAGGCGGCUUCCUGGACCGACACUGACGCUGAGGCGCGAAAGCUAGGGGAGCAAAACG
rnacentral:rRNA from 1 species